UUAGAGUUUGAUCCUGGCUCAGGAUGAACGCUAGCGGCAGGCCUAAUACAUGCAAGUCGAACGGUAAAUAUCCUUUCGGGGAUAUGAGAGUGGCGCACGGGUGCGUAACGCGUAUGCAACCUACCCAAUGCUGGCGGAUAGCCCGGAGAAAUUCGGAUUAAGCCGUCAUGAGGAGCUUGAGGGGCAUCCUUUAGGUUUCAAAUAUUUAUAGGCGUUGGAUGGGCAUGCGUGCUAUUAGAUAGUUGGCGGGGUAACGGCCCACCAAGUCGACGAUAGCUAGGGGGUCUGAGAGGACGGUCCCCCACACUGGUACUGAGACACGGACCAGACUCCUACGGGAGGCAGCAGUAAGGAAUAUUGGGCAAUGGAGGGAACUCUGACCCAGCCAUGCCGCGUGAAGGAAGAAGGCCCUACGGGUCGUAAACUUCUUUUGUCAAGGGAUAAUUCAUGGUACGUGUACCAUGUUGAAGGUACUUGAAGAAUAAGCAUCGGCUAACUCCGUGCCAGCAGCCGCGGUAAUACGGAGGAUGCGAGCGUUAUCCGGAUUUAUUGGGUUUAAAGGGUGCGUAGGCGGAUUGUUAAGUCAGAGGUGAAAGUUCCCGGCUCAACCGGGUCAGUGCCUUUGAUACUGGCGGUCUUGAAUACGGUCAAAGCAGGCGGAAUGUGGUGUGUAGCGGUGAAAUGCAUAGAUAUGCCACAGAACUCCGAUAGCGAAGGCAGCUUGCUGGGCCUGUAUUGACGCUGAGGCACGAAAGCGUGGGGAUCAAACAGGAUUAGAUACCCUGGUAGUCCACGCUGUAAACGAUGGACACUCGUUGUCGGCGAUAGACAGUCGGCGGCUAAGCGAAAGUGAUAAGUGUCCCACCUGGGGAGUACGGUCGCAAGGCUGAAACUCAAAGGAAUUGACGGGGGCCCGCACAAGCGGUGGAGCAUGUGGUUUAAUUCGAUGAUACGCGAGGAACCUUACCCGGGUUAGAAUGCAAUCUGGAUAUGGGCGAAAGUUCAUAGUCUUCGGACAGAUUGCGAGGUGCUGCAUGGUUGUCGUCAGCUCGUGCCGUGAGGUGUCGGGUUAAGUCCCAUAACGAGCGCAACCCCUACCCUCAGUUGCCAGCUGGUCAAGCAGGGGACUCUGUGGAUACUGCCACCGCAAGGUGUGAGGAAGGUGGGGAUGACGUCAAAUCAGCACGGCCCUUACGUCCGGGGCUACACACGUGUUACAAUGGCGCAUACAGAGAGUCGGCCGCCGGCAACGUCGGUCCAAUCCUUAAAAUGCGUCCUAGUUCGGAUUGGGGUCUGCAACCCGACCCCAUGAAGCUGGAUUCGCUAGUAAUCGCGCAUCAGCCAUGGCGCGGUGAAUACGUUCCCGGGCCUUGUACACACCGCCCGUCAAG
rnacentral:rRNA from 1 species